UAUAACGGCUCUCCCAUGAUUGGACCACGCGUCUCUGCCAUACAGAUAUGGGCGUACGAGGAUAUCGGGCGCCUGCUCCAUGCGUAACGGCCUCUGAUUCUCCCCCGUGCGUACACUCGAGCGGAUCUGUCAGGCUGUACGACGAGUCUCGUUCUGGAUUCUGGGCUGGGCCGAAAGCUGGGCUGGACGCUGAACCCAGGAGGAGAAGGAAUCCGUGGGGAGGUUAUACGGGCUGGGCCGAUCUCGAUGAGGAAGAAUCUGGUGGAGUCCGG
rnacentral:lncRNA from 1 species